rnacentral:misc_RNA from 1 species
AACUUUUAACAAUGGAUCUCUUGGCUCUCGCAUCGAUGAAGAACGCAGCGAAAUGCGAUAAGUAAUGUGAAUUGCAGAUUUUCAGUUAAUCAUCGAAUCUUUGAACGCACCUUGCGCUCCUUGGUAUUCCGAGGAGCAUGCCUGUUUGAGUGUCAUCGAAUUCUCAACUCCAAGGGUUUCACGACCUUUUGGAGAUUGGACUUGGAGGUGCCGGCCGCACAUAUGGUCAGCUCCUCUCAAGUGGAUCAGCGGAAUUCACCCUUUUGCUUCCGGACGACAGUGUCAUAUUCAUGUCGCGCUGUCGUUUGAUCCUCAGAGGCCGCUCAUAACGGUCUUUGGACAAAUCAUCAUCAAAUUUGCCCUCAACUCAGGUAGGACUACCCGCUGAUCUCAAGCAUAUCAACAAGCGGAGGCU